UGCUCGAGAACGCGGUGGCAAAAGAUCACCCGGCAUUCUCUGCGCUUCAGUCAUACAUUCUAUUAGAAUAAGUAAUAUACUUGAGUAUAAAGAGAAAUCACGAUUGUCUCGCUAUGCAAACUAUACAUCAUCUGCAUCUGGAACGAUCACCCUUCGACUAGCAUCUGUAAAAACUUCCUCAACGAAAACACUGUAAACUACAAUUUAGGUGAUGUCUCGAGGUGAUUCGAUGGACGGUCUCUGAGCGUGCGUGCGAGUCGGCUAAGGCGAUGGCAUUGACACAGUUUGGCCUGCUGCACCGCCUGUGUUAGCCUCGCGGGUUCUGUUCUGUUAAUGUAACGUCGAGCGUGAAGAGUUUGAACUGUUGAGCAACCCAGUCAACGAGCCCUUGACAACUCUGUCUCGAACACACUACUAUAUCCGAAUGAAUGAUCCGACUUACGUGUCGCCGAACUCCAGACCUCGGAUUCACACAAACGAAGAUCAUCUGACUCUCAUUGAAAAUUCAGCUCUGUUUUUCGUGCCAUUAGUAUUGUUAGAUUUUUUUUUUCAAUCUCCACAGGAACCUUAUGGUUAAUAAAUAUAUGUACGUGCAUACGUAUACGUAUAAUAGAGUCGUUUUAAAUUUGGUGCUUAAUGUACACUGCAGAGUGCACAAAUUAUUGAUAGUAUGCAGUGUCAUACGUUUACGUAUUUUGCUUUUCUUCUCUUUCUUCGACUUCUUCUUGUUCGGUAAUUACAAUUAUCCAUGCAGCAUUUUGAAUAUCGUGAACUAUGAAAUUCUAGCGUUACGGUCACGCGAAAGGCUUCUUAGGAUCCGUGUCGUCAUCAUAAUCAUUAUUAUUAUUAUUGUGGUUAUCAUCUUCGUCGAUCAAUGAAAGUUGUUAAUUUUCAGAUAAUUUAUCAUCAUAAAUCCUUGAAUCGCUUGACCGUAAUCGGGACCAGGCUUUGCGAAAAAGGAAGGUAAAUGAGAAAGAGGAGAAGAAAUACAAUCGAGAAAUAACAUAUUGUUAACAAUUCCGAAUUGUAUCCGUUACAGAAUUAAGAUUAGUGAUGCAUACGUUGUUUAUAAUUUCCAACUGAUUGCAUGUGCGAAUGCAGUAUCAUUACUAAACAAAAAACUUAUCUUACAUAUGCUUACCUUGUUAAAAUUUAUAGUAUUUGAAUUUAUGUAUAACACAGUGUUUAUCGUAAAAGUAUGAACUUGAAUUAUGAGAAACUGUUCUGUGUGUAAAAUUUUGGCGACUAAAGGUAAAGAACUCAAGGACUUGUAAAUAAUUUUCUAUUUAUGUUGUAUGUAUUUGAAUUAUCAUGUUAUGAAUAAUGAUGUAUCAAUUGAACACCAUUAGUACUAGAA
rnacentral:lncRNA from 1 species